ensembl:lncRNA
UAUAACGGUGGUAGCCGCCCUAACUCAAAUACUAUUUUAAAGAAGAAAAAAAACCUUCGGGCGCCAGACAGGAUUAAACCUAUCAAAAAUUAACUUAACCCAGGAUAGCAGGAAAAUAACCACCUGUUACACAACAAAUUAUAAUAAUAAUCCCAGACUAAAGGUCAUCAGGAUAUUUAUUCUUCCAUAUGUUCAAAAUCAUAAUAACACAGAAAACCGAAAUGGACAACAAAAUAAAAAACAAAAAAAAACAAAAUAAGCAAUGACCACACGUUCCCACUAGCGGUCUCUGGUCUUCGAAAUCUGUGCCCGUGCCAGAAACCGACCGCGUCACGCUAAUCCACGUUCGCAGAUUCGUGUCCACAUUCAUUCACAAAAUGUCCAUAAAAAAUAAAGGAAAAGAGAAAACAAAGAAAACAUUGGAUGAACAUCUCAUUAAGUUAAAUCAAAAGCAUCAAUAAUUUUAACGGGCAACAACAAUUGUAAACAAAACACUAAGCACACAGAAUGUGCGAAUAUGAAAGCUAUGCGAGUGGGUGCGUGCGUGUGUUGCAGUGUGUGUAAUGGCGAGAAAACAAAGAAAACAUUGGAUGAACAUCUCAUUAAGUUAAAUCAAAAGCAUCAAUAAUUUUAACGGGCAACAACAAUUGUAAACAAAACACUAAGCACACAGAAUGUGCGAAUAUGAAAGCUAUGCGAGUGGGUGCGUGCGUGUGUUGCAGUGUGUGUAAUGGCGGCGCAAAGGUACUGACCCCGUUUGCAGGUAUUGAAGGCACCAAUGAGUAUCGCGGGUCACCAGACACCAAGAUAGGUGGAUAAGCGGUUUUUGCCUUGUCUUCAGGACUGCUCAUGACAGUUGGUCUGGAAGGGCAAUGCUUCAGUCACGCACCAGACAUCAUCGCCAUGGAACAGCGGAUUGACACGCAGCCGUCUUUCCACCGUAAACCAUCUCUCAUACGGGCAACCCUCAUGUGCAAACAAACGAAUGACGCCUCUCUUUCAGGUACGACACGCUCCCUUUAAAUACAACUCCCUUCCGCCGUUAAUUGACACACUCCACCCAAAAUCACGCUAAAAUGAAAGUGAAAGUAGAACAGAUUCUUUUGUUUGCCACAACACAUAUCAUGUAGUUUUCAAAUAAGCCUAAAUGAUUAGAUUAGCUUGAUCAGGUGUGUUUAAUUAGGGUUAUAUCUAAACUGUGCAGGACUGUGGCCCUCCAGGAACUGAGUUUGACACCCUUGGCCUGUUUCAUUUUUG